rnacentral:rRNA from 1 species
CUAGCUUCGUCGGCAGCGUCAGAUGUGUAUAAGAGACAGGGCCCAGACAGCCAGGAUGUUGGCUUAGAAGCAGCCAUCAUUUAAAGAAAGCGUAAUAGCUCACUGGUCGAGUCGGCCUGCGCGGAAGAUGUAACGGGGCUAAACCAUGCACCGAAGCUGCGGCAGCGACACUAUGUGUUGUUGGGUAGGGGAGCGUUCUGUAAGCCUGUGAAGGUGGCCUGUGAGGGUUGCUGGAGGUAUCAGAAGUGCGAAUGCUGACAUAAGUAACGAUAAAGCGGGUGAAAAGCCCGCUCGCCGGAAGACCAAGGGUUCCUGUCCAACGUUAAUCGGGGCAGGGUGAGUCGACCCCUAAGGCGAGGCCGAAAGGCGUAGUCGAUGGGAAACAGGUUAAUAUUCCUGUACUUGGUGUUACUGCGAAGGGGGGACGGAGAAGGCUAUGUUGGCCGGGCGACGGUUGUCCCGGUUUAAGCGUGUAGGCUGGUUUUCCAGGCAAAUCCGGAAAACCAAGGCUGAGGCGUGAUGACGAGGCACUACGGUGCUGAAGCGACAAAUGCCCUGCUUCCAGGAAAAGCCUCUAAGCAUCAGGUAACAUCAAAUCGUACCCCAAACCGACACAGGUGGUCAGGUAGAGAAUACCAAGGCGCUUGAGAGAACUCGGGUGAAGGAACUAGGCAAAAUGGUGCCGUAACUUCGGGAGAAGGCACGCUGAUAUGUAGGUGAAGCGACUUGCUCGUGGAGCUGAAAUCAGUCGAAGAUACCAGCUGGCUGCAACUGUUUAUUAAAAACACAGCACUGUGCAAACACGAAAGUGGACGUAUACGGUGUGACGCCUGCCCGGUGCCGGAAGGUUAAUUGAUGGGGUUAGCGGCAACGCGAAGCUCUUGAUCGAAGCCCCGGUAAACGGCGGCCGUAACUAUAACGGUCCUAAGGUAGCGAAAUUCCUUGUCGGGUAAGUUCCGACCUGCACGAAUGGCGUAAUGAUGGCCAGGCUGUCUCCACCCGAGACUCAGUGAAAUUGAACUCGCUGUGAAGAUGCAGUGUACCCGCGGCAAGACGGAAAGACCCCGUGAACCUUUACUAUAGCUUGACACUGAACAUUGAGCCUUGAUGUGUAGGAUAGGUGGGAGGCUUUGAAGUGUGGACGCCAGUCUGCAUGGAGCCGACCUUGAAAUACCACCCUUUAAUGUUUGAUGUUCUAACGUUGGCCCGUAAUCCGGGUUGCGGACAGUGUCUGGUGGGUAGUUUGACUGGGGCGGUCUCCUCCUAAAGAGUAACGGAGGAGCACGAAGGUUGGCUAAUCCUGGUCGGACAUCAGGAGGUUAGUGCAAUGGCAUAAGCCAGCUUGACUGCGAGCGUGACGGCGCGAGCAGGUGCGAAAGCAGGUCAUAGUGAUCCGGUGGUUCUGAAUGGAAGGGCCAUCGCUCAACGGAUAAAAGGUACUCCGGGGAUAACAGGCUGAUACCGCCCAAGAGUUCAUAUCGACGGCGGUGUUUGGCAC